rnacentral:rRNA from 1 species
AUUGAACGCUGGCGGCAUGCUUUACACAUGCAAGUCGAACGGUAACAGGCCGCAAGGUGCUGACGAGUGGCGAACGGGUGAGUAAUGCAUCGGAACGUGCCCAGUCGUGGGGGAUAACGCAGCGAAAGCUGCGCUAAUACCGCAUACGAUCUCUGGAUGAAAGCGGGGGACCGAAAGGCCUCGCGCGAUUGGAGCGGCCGAUGUCAGAUUAGGUAGUUGGUGGGGUAAAGGCUCACCAAGCCAACGAUCUGUAGCUGGUCUGAGAGGACGACCAGCCACACUGGGACUGAGACACGGCCCAGACUCCUACGGGAGGCAGCAGUGGGGAAUUUUGGACAAUGGGCGCAAGCCUGAUCCAGCAAUGCCGCGUGCAGGAAGAAGGCCUUCGGGUUGUAAACUGCUUUUGUACGGAACGAAACGGUCUGGGUUAAUACCCUGGGCUAAUGACGGUACCGUAAGAAUAAGCACCGGCUAACUACGUGCCAGCCGCCGCAGUAACAC